CCCAAGGAAAUUGCCUAGCAGGAAGGGAUGAGGCCCUGUAGUCUUGUCCCUGACCGUAGAUAGUGUCUUAUCUGCCUACCUGCCUGUAGUUGCUGCGGGCUGGGUACAUUGAUUAAUGGAAGCAUAAGGAGAGAGCAGCAUCAAUCGCAUCAGUUCCUGGUAUCUCCUCUAAGGGCAAUGUGACUUUGGAGGAUGUGGCCGUGUACUUCUCCUGGGAGGAAUGGAGCCUCCUUGAUGAGGCUCAGAGACACCUGUACCAUGAUGUGAUGCUGGAGAACUUUGCACUCAUAUCCUCACUGGGUUGUUUGUGUGGUAUAGAGGAGGCACCUUCUGGACAGAGUGUUUCUCUGGAAAGAGUGCCACAAAUCAGGAUUCCAAAACCAGAUCAGUCAACUCAAAAGGCUCAUCUUUGUGAGAUGUGUGUUCCUGUCAUGAAAGAUAUUUUGUAUCUGGCUGAGCAUCAAGGAAUAUAUACUGGGCAGAAAUCAUACACAUGUGUGGAAUGUGGGAAACAAUUCUGUUUCAGUGCAAAUCUUCAGCAACACCAGAAGGAGCACAGUGGGAAAAAACCCUACAGCAAGGACAUAGACAGGGCCUCCUUUGUGAAGAACUAUGGAAGCCAUUCGUCAGGGAAGCUUUUCACCUGUCAGGAGGUUGGAAAGGACUUCUUGGUCAAUGUGGGCCUUCUCCAGAACCAGGCCACUCCCAAAGCAGUACUGAGUAUGCAUAGCAGUACUGAGCUUGAGGAGGCCUUUCACAGUGGAAAAAGUCCUUAUAAGUGUGGUGAAUGUGGGAAAGCCUUCCGCCGCAAACGUACACUUGUCCAGCACCAGAGAAUCCACACUGGAGAAGGACUGUAUGAGUGUAGUGAAUGUGGGAAAACCUUCAGCUACAAGCACACAUUUGUUCAACACAAGACAGUCCACACUGGAGAAAGGCCUUUUGGGUGCAGUGAAUGUCAGAAGUCCUUCAGGUUCAAAUAUAAACUUGUUCAGCACCAGCGUAUUCACACUGGAGAAAGACCUUAUGUGUGCAGCGAAUGUGGGAAAGCUUUUGGGUGCAAAUCCAAACUUGUUCGGCACCAGAGAAUUCACACUGGAGCAAGGCCUUAUGAGUGUGCUGAAUGUGGCAAAUUCUUUAGACAAAGCUCCAGCCUCGUUCAACACCGAAGAAUUCACACUGGAGCAAGGCCUUAUAAAUGUGGUGAAUGUGGGAAGUCUUUUAGCCAAAGCUCCAUCCUCAUUCAACACCGGAGAGUUCAUACUGGAGAAAGGCCAUAUGAGUGCAGUGAAUGUGGGAAAUCUUUUAGACAAAGCUCUAGCCUCAUUCAACACCGAAGAGUUCACACGGGAGCAAGGCCUUAUGAGUGCAGUGAAUGUGGGAAAUCCUUUAGCCAGAGCUUCAGCCUCAUUCUACAUCGGAGAAUUCACACUGGAGAAAGGCCUUAUGAGUGCAGGGAAUGUGGAAAAUCUUUUAGCCAAAACUACAGCCUCAUUCAACACCAUAAACUUCACAAUAGAUAAAGGUCUCAAGAGUGCAGCCGACAUGAGCAAGCCUUCAGUUAACAGUCUGCUGUGAUUCAACACCAAAAACUUCACAACCCAGAUAAUUUUUUGAAUUGAGCAAUUGUGGGAAAGCCUUUAGCCAAAGAUUUAAACUCAUUCAGCAUGAGAACUGCCACAUAAGCUAAUGGCCUUAGAUCUUCAGGGAAUGUGCUAUCUCUUUAUUUAGUGUGAUGGCACUAGAGAGCCUCUGUGAGGAACCAUCUGCCAUGAGUUCCAGAGAUAAUCUCCAGUCCCCAUGCAGACACUGUCACUGCACUUACAGGUAAAAUGAUGAUCACUCCCCAGCAGGGAGAUGAGAUCAUGGAACCCAAACCUUUAUCUCAAGGGUAAGGUGCCCCCUUUACACACAUGCUCCAAAUCUGACCACGACAUCUGCUAUCCCAGCAGGGAACGACAUUUGGUAAGUGAAACUUUUUUUUAUAUAAAGAGACAGAUUCUUAGAGGAAUA